GACGUGGCCCUGGCGCCCUGCACCGCCGCCGCCGCCUGCGAAGCGGGCCCCUCCCCGGUCUACGUCAAGGUCAAGAGCGCGGAGCCGGCUGACUGCGCCGAGGGGCCGGUGCAGUGCAAGAACGGCCUCUUGGUCUCCAGCCCACACUGUGAAGAGCCUUGUGCCCACAGCUGUGCACAUCCUGGGCUUCCUCCACACCUUGUCCAUAAACUGCCCCUCAGCUACCUUCAGACCCAGGAUACAGACGCAGCCUCCAGAAGAAUAAAUGCUCCAUUAGCAGCUGGCUGGAGCUGGCUGAGGCUCUGGCUGGUGACUCUGGCCUCUGGUGUAGACUUCCCUCAGAGGCCCUUCCUUCAGGCUGCAUGCAGAACAGAUGCAGGUAGCCAUGAAGCCAAAUCUGGAAGGAGAUGAUGCUUCCUCUGAAGAUCAGAGAACAGAUGCAAAAACUAUUGCUCAAGGAAAAUAAAGUGAAAACGAGGAAAAGCAAAAGAAGAUCUGGAGAGGGCUCUCACCUGACCACAAGCAUCCUGGAGCAAUGAGUUUCAGGCAGGAAGACUCAUCCUGAGCUGAGCUGCUUUUCUUGAAGUUGUGCAAGAACGUCCUGUUGGCUGGGGCAAAUUCAGUAUUUCUUUUCCUGGCCACUGUGCUGGAGCGUGAGGAAAGACUCUCCACCCUCACUCCCAGAUCCUGCAGGAGGCGUGAGAGCGGAUGGAGAUGGUGAGGAUGUCUAUUAAUAUGGUGUUUCCUGCAAAACGGUGCCCAUCUCAACCAUGGGUUGUCAACCAUCCUCGGUGUCUACAACUGCAAUUUACCUUUGAGGGCCCAUGAACUCUGAUUACCUGAAAGUCCUUAGGCCAGAAAGAGAAACCCCUGUCCCCCACCUCUCACUUUCACCUAUUUCUAGACCUUUUCUUACAGCAAUGCCUUGGCCCUCAGGAAGCAUCAGAUCUCAAACUGCAGGGUCUGGGGCUGAAGCUGAUGCUGGCAUGGGUGACUCAGAGUUCCUCUAUUAGUUCAAAUAUGUAAUAUCUUUUAGAGCCUAGGACUCAGGCUGGAGGCAAUUCCUUGGUGCCAGUUGGUUAAUACUUUAUGAAUAGUGGUGGGGGAGGGAAUGCCUUGGACUAUUAAUGUCCCCAUGGAUCUGGAUCCUGGAGAACUUCCAGUGUCCUGGAUGGAAUGUUCUGCUUGGCUCAUCUUGCCCAGAGAAGAGCCAGGAUAUGAGAAGAUGGGAGAGGGAAGGGGGAGGUGUGAAACGUGCUGGUGCUUCCUGUCCUCGUGGUGUGAUGGCUGCCCAGGCUGCUCCUUCGAGGCAGGACAGGAUUCCCAUGGGAGAUAUGAGGACCAUGGUGAUUUCCAGGCACCAGUUAUGUCCCAGAGCAUCGUGUGCCUGUGCAGUGGGGUUACUGAUAGUCCAGGCAUCAGUUCAUAUUGUCCUUUAUGGCAGAUCCUGCACAAGGGGGUUCUCUGUCUCUGGACCCACUCUGUCAGCAUGGACAUCCUUUUUCUUUUUCCCUGGUAAGGACAUCAGAAAGAAAGUUACCCCUCCAGUGUUUGGAGUCUUGGAAUCCUUGGCCUGCCUGCAGGCCUCUGAAUCCUCAGUGUGUUAGCCCAAGGUCACCUUAGGUAAAGGAACAUUUCUCCUGGUCUUCCAACACCCUGGAAAGGGAGGCUCUUCAAGAAUAGGAAAUUCUUCCUAGUAUCUAACCUUGGCCUGCAACUAUGCCAUACAUUUAAUUGUAGAAGGUAUGGAAAGUUAGGACUGUGGUGGACCCAGUUAAAUCACUGGACAGAAGCCAUGAGGCAGAGCCAGAACCAGCUUCUGGACUCCCUGCAUGGAGCUUUCUACUAUCCCAGGUUGUUGGGUCCCUUCUCAGUGGCCAAAGAUGCUAUUUUAUGAGCCUUGAGGACAUGACACUAAGUGAAAAAAGCCUGGCCAAAGGGCCACAUAGUGUAUAGUUCUAUUUAUAUGAAAUGUCCAGGAAAGACAAAAGCAUAGAGGCAGAAAGCAGACUAGUGCUGUGGGAGGAAUGGGGGAUUUGGGAGGUGAUGGCUAAGGGGUUAUGGGGUUUUGGGGGAGGUAAUAGAAAUGUUUUAAAAUUGGUUGUGAAGGUGGAUGCCCAACUCUGCGAAUACACUAAAAGGCAUCGAAUUGUAUACUUUAAAUAGGUG
ensembl:lncRNA SNHG28 small nucleolar RNA host gene 28